rnacentral:rRNA from 1 species
AUUCCAGCUCCAAUAGCGUAUAUUAAAGUUGUUGCAGUUAAAAAGCUCGUAGUUGAAUUUCUGACGAUCAUUUCUGUGCUUCCUCAGGGAUAGUUGCGGUAAAUGACGUCAUCUAUCUGUCAUCUACUGUACUUUAUUGUGCUGUAGCUUGCCAGAUCCUUUACUUUGAGAAAAUUUGAGUGUUUCAAGCAGGUAAUUGCCAUGAAAACUGCCGCAUGGAAUAAUACGAUAGGACUAUGGUUCUAUUUUGUUGGUUUCUAGAACCAAAGUAAUGAUUAACAGAGACAGUUGGGGGCAUUCGUAUUUAAGAGUCAGAGGUGAAAUUCUUAGAUUUCUUAAAGACGAACUACUGCGAAAGCAUUUGCCAAGGAUGUUUUCAUCG